rnacentral:misc_RNA from 1 species
CUUGAUAAGCGUGAGGUCGGAAGUUCAAGUCUUCCCAGGCCCACCACUUUCAUCGAGUGUAGGCAUUCGUCUUCUGGUUACGGGGCCAUAGCUCAGCUGGGAGAGCGCGUGCUUUGCAAGCAUGAGGUCGUCGGUUCGAUCCCGUCUGGCUCCACCAGAUGGUUUGAUUGCCGGCGCAGCUUGUACCUAGGUCUUGCACCUAAAUCGUCCGCGAAACAUCACUUCGCACCCACCAGUCCGGAUGGACGGUGAGGUUGCGUGAUUUCUGACAUCGUAAAGAGGAGAUCGAUCCGAGUUGGAUCGUGCAGCAAAUCGUUGCGCGAGCCUUCAUUAUCUCCGGAUCAUUUCGGCGCUCGCUUUCAACCGUGAGGUUGGCGGUGAGUUGUAAAUGAUCCUUUUAGCGAAGCUUGACCGCCUCGCUAUCGGAACGAUCUUACGAAGCAAGCUGGUCUUUCUAGUCAAUGUCCGGCUGCGACAAUCGCGUUCAUCGAGGACGCGCGCCUUCAAUGGCAGUUGCGCAGACAACAUUCUGCCGAGUGUGUGGACAUUGAUAAUGAGAGCAAUCAAGUGCCUUAAGGGUGUUCGGUGGAUGCCUUGGCGCUGAGAGGCGAUGAAGGACGUGCUACGCUGCGAUAAGCCGUGGGGAGCUGCGAAGAAGCUU